AACUUAAAUUAACAGUAAAUGAAUUUAACAGUUUUAUUUUUAAUUGGUACUAUGCUUUACAGUAUUAUCCUAAUUUAGAAAUGUAGUUGUUAUCCGUAUUACCAGGAUUUAGGGAAUAAAAUUAGGAGGUACGCAUGAUGAAUGGUACAGUAAAAUGGUUUAACGCAGAAAAAGGAUUUGGUUUUAUUACAGGGGAAGAUGGUAAAGAUGUAUUUGCACAUUUCUCACAAAUCCAAUCGAGCGGUUAUAAAACAUUAGAAGAAGGUCAGGAAGUUUCUUUCGAAAUCACACAAGGACCUAAAGGCCCACAAGCCGAAAAUAUUCAAGUUAUUUAAGUAACAAGAACGUUUAAACUUAUGCCUGAAAACGGCAUAAGUUUUUU
rnacentral:misc_RNA from 1 species